GAUGAACGCUAGCGGGAGGCCUAACACAUGCAAGCCGAGCGGUAUUGUUUCUUCGGAAAUGAGAGAGCGGCGUACGGGUGCGGAACACGUGUGCAACCUGCCUUUAUCUGGGGGAUAGCCUUUCGAAAGGAAGAUUAAUACUCCAUAAUAUAUUGAACGGCAUCGUUUAAUAUUGAAAGCUCCGGCGGAUAGAGAUGGGCACGCGCAAGAUUAGCUAGUUGGUGAGGUAACGGCUCACCGAGGCGAUGAUCUUUAGGGGGCCUGAGAGGGUGAUCCCCCACACUGGUACUGAGACACGGACCAGACUCCUACGGGAGGCAGCAGUGAGGAAUAUUGGUCAAUGGGUGCAAGCCUGAACCAGCCAUCCCGCGUGAAGGACGACUGCCCUAUGGGUUGUAAACUUCUUUUGUAUAGGGAUAAACCUACCCUCGUGAGGGUAGCUGAAGGUACUAUACGAAUAAGCACCGGCUAACUCCGUGCCAGCCGCCGCAGUAAAAC
rnacentral:rRNA from 1 species